rnacentral:rRNA from 1 species
AGCGAACGCUGGCGGCAGGCUUAACACAUGCAAGUCGAACGCCAUCUUCGGGUGGAGUGGCAGACGGGUGAGUAACGCGUGGGAACGUACCCUUUGGUUCGGAAUAUUCUCGGGAAACUGAGAGCAAUACCGGAUAAGCCCUACGGGGGAUCGCAAGACCUCUCGCUAUUGGAGCGGCCGAUAUCAGAUUAGCUCGUUGGUGGGGUAAAGGCCCACCAAGGCGACGAUCUGUAGCUGGUCUGAGAGGACGACCAGCCACACUGGGACUGAGACACGGCCCAGACUCCUACGGGAGGCAGCAGUGGGGAAUUUUGGACAAUGGGCGCAAGCCUGAUCCAGCAAUGCCGCGUGCAGGAAGAAGGCCUUCGGGUUGUAAACUGCUUUUGUACGGAACGAAAAGGUCUGGGUUAAUACCCUGGGCUCAUGACGGUACCGUAAGAAUAAGCACCGGCUAACUACGUG